GAAUAAGAAGCGAUAUAUUGCACUCAGUUUCGACCUGAUCCUAGGUAGUUUUACCCUUAUUUU
rnacentral:tRNA from 1 species